UGGAGGAGAGGGAGAAGUAGACUCCCCACUGAGCAGGGAGCCUGAUGCGAGGCUCAAUCCCGGGAUCCUGAGAUCAUGAUCUGAGCCGAAGGCCAACACUUCACCGAUAGAGCCACCCAGUGGCCCCAAUUUCCUGAAUUUCUAAGACAGACUCUGUCGGAGAGACCAGCUGAAGGAACCCACUGCUGACCAGGGCGAUGUCUCUUCUAAAUGAGGACAAUUGUGAUUAACUCGGUGACCAGCCAGCGCCAGCCAUGCUCCCACCGGUGAAAGCAGCCCUUUGAACAAUAUUGAAGAUGUUUAUUUCAUGAGGAUGUAGCAGAAGACAACAGUGUCUUUUAAACAGGUCAUAGUCAGAGCCCUGGCCUGAGAUUCAUGGGACCCCAACAAACACUUCACAUACAGACUCCAGAAAAGGCACAGUCAAGAAAAAGGGACUGCCAUCUUCUGUUGCAAAGAAUGGAUUUGGGAUCCUACAGCCUGCCGUGGAAUCAAAACCUCCUGUUGACACAGAGGAGGACCCCACAGCGUCAUUUCAAGUGGGUAAUUUCUGGAAACCUCAAGAUUUUUAGAAAAUGGUUGAAAGGAGUUAAAGACCUUGUGGAAGAGAACAGCAGCCUCUCAGCUCCCCUUUGAACGUGGAAGUCUCUCUCUCCAGGGCACAGUCUUGCCAUCCACACAGAAUUUCCUGUGGCUCCUGUGCAAGGACAAGCAUGAAUAUACUUUCCCGACACACCCUCCAAAUUCGACAGAAAUUACUCAAGCGUUGUCAAAGGCACAGUGAUCUAUGCCUUCUCUGAACAGAUACCUCAUGUUAAUUCGGGCAAUGACAAUGAUGGGUCUUCCAUUUCUGUUUUGUGGCUUUAGAAAACAAUUGAUAGGAAUCUGGAAAACUUUGAUCCUUUCUUUUGCUCCCACCUGAGGAAAUGACCCUGAUAAAACAUGUUUUUGUUUGUUUGUUUUUGUUUUUUUGUAGCAUACAGGUGAGGGACACCCCUUCCACCUGGGUGAUGCUCAAUUGAGUAGAUAAAUGAAAAGUGAUCACAACAAAGAAAAGUGGGAAAAAAAGGAGCUUGAAGUGACUCAGGGGAUAGUCCACUCUGAGAUAAGUGAAAAAAUGUUAGUUGGUAUUAAAUGAAACUAUUUUUUUAAUAGAAUUUCCAAGUCCUCCUAUGGCAGUGAGAGAAAACAGAAGAAUCAAAAGAAGCCUUUAUUCAAUGCUUGCUAUAUGUCAACCAAUAUGUUAAGUAAUCUCAUCCAUCUCCACAUAACCUGAAGAACCAGGUCCCUGUUUUAUAGAUUAAGACACUGAGAAAAUUUGCCAAGACAAGUGGAAGGUCCAUAAUCUUAACAUAAUGAUCUGCCACAAGCCCUUACUCUUCAUCACAAUCGUGUUAUCAUGAUCCUUUAGAUUUUAUAAUUUAUUGUACUCACACAAGUCUUGAUUCUCUAAAGCUACCAAAAUUAGGGAGUGUUUCUUCAUACAUGGAGAGGAAAAAGUUUAUUUUCAAUCAUUCACAUGAUACUAACAUGUGUCCAAAAGAUCUGGAUCAAUUGGGUGUGGAUUUCUCCAGAAAACUCUUCCCAGAUUGCCCACAUAUGGAAAUUAUCUCUCCGAGGUCAAUCACAACUCUGAGUGUCUGGAAUACAGACCGUUAGAACAUUAAUCACUGAUGUAAAUAUCCUCUCUCACCUUCCUUCUGCACAGCUCAUACUAACUUCCACUCAGAAAAACCUACUAAAUUUAACAAUUACAAAGAAAUUCUCUUCCCCCUUUCCCUUUUUUGAGAAAGACAUAUGAGCAUGAAAAUCACUAAGCACAAAAUAUAAAGUUUCCUUGGAGAUGAAUUUGUUUUGAAGAAAUGUAAACCUGGUUAGAACUUUAGGAAAAUGUGUGUUAUUUGAUGUGUGACCUUGGCGCAAGUCAGCAUGCUCUCAGGAGCAGAGUGUGCAUCAGCAUCGAUGACUGAUGGGACAGUAGGUGUGAAUGUGGACAACAUCUUAAGCAGGUGACCCCAGUGCAGAGCCACAGGAUGGUUUCUGAGCAAUUCAAAGAGCCAAAGGCACCUCCACACUGUGUCAGGAUGGAAAAGCCACACCAUUCCACUGUGGCCUCUGCUGGUCUCCACCCAGAACGCUAUCAUCACCACCACCAGCAUGAGGAUCUUUUUGCCUAGAAGCUUCUUCACUCAAUUCAACAGUCUUUAAAAUAGUAGCACAAGGAAUUAUAAAAAUAAAAGCAGUUGAUCUUA